rnacentral:rRNA from 1 species
UACGUAGGUGGCAAGCGUUGUCCGGAAUUAUUGGGCGUAAAGCGCGCGCAGGCGGUCCUUUAAGUCUGAUGUGAAAGCCCACGGCUCAACCGUGGAAGGUCAUUGGAACUGGAGGACUUGAGUACAGAAGAGGAAAGCGGAAUUCCACGUGUAGCGGUGAAAUGCGUAGAGAUGUGGAGGAACACCAGUGGCGAAGGCGGCUUUCUGGUCUGUAACUGACGCUGAGGCGCGAAAGCGUGGGGAGCAAACAGG